rnacentral:rRNA from 4 species
AAAUUGAAGAGUUUGAUCAUGGCUCAGAUUGAACGCUGGCGGCAGGCCUAACACAUGCAAGUCGAGCGGAAACGAGUUAUCUGAACCUUCGGGG